GACGAACGCUGGCGGCGUGCUUAACACAUGCAAGUCGAACGGAAAGGCCUUUUCGGAGGUACUCGAGUGGCGAACGGGUGAGUAACACGUGGGUGGUCUGCCCUGCACUCUGGGAUAAGCCUGGGAAACUGGGUCUAAUACCGGAUAGGACCGCACUUUAGUGUGUGUGGUGGAAAGUUUUUUCGGUGUAGGAUGAGCCCGCGGCCUAUCAGCUUGUUGGUGGGGUAAUGGCCUACCAAGGCGGCGACGGGUAGCCGGACUGAGAGGUUGGUCGGCCACAUUGGGACUGAGAUACGGCCCAGACUCCUACGGGAGGCAGCAGUGGGGAAUAUUGCACAAUGGGCGCAAGCCUGAUGCAGCGACGCCGCGUGGGGGAUGACGACCUUCGGGUUGUAAACUCCUUUCGCCAGGGACGAAGCGUUUUGUGACGGUACCUGGAGAAGAAGCACCGGCUAACUACGUG
rnacentral:rRNA from 1 species